rnacentral:rRNA from 1 species
AUUGAACGCUGGCGGCAGGCCUAACACAUGCAAGUCGAGCGGAUGAGUGGAGCUUGCUCCAUGAUUCAGCGGCGGACGGGUGAGUAAUGCCUAGGAAUCUGCCUGGUAGUGGGGGACAACGUUUCGAAAGGAACGCUAAUACCGCAUACGUCCUACGGGAGAAAGCAGGGGACCUUCGGGCCUUGCGCUAUCAGAUGAGCCUAGGUCGGAUUAGCUAGUAGGUGAGGUAAUGGCUCACCUAGGCGACGAUCCGUAACUGGUCUGAGAGGAUGAUCAGUCACACUGGAACUGAGACACGGUCCAGAGUCCUACGGGAGGCAGCGGUGGGGAAUAUUGGACAAUGGGCGAAAGCCUGAUCCAGCCAUGCCGCGUGUGUGAAGAAGGUCUUCGGAUUGUAAAGCACUUUAAGUUGGGAGGAAGGGCAGUAAGUUAAUACCUUGCUGUUUUGACGUUACCAACAGAAUAAGCACCGGCUAACUUCGUGCCAGCCGCCGCCGUAAGAC